rnacentral:lncRNA from 1 species
GCGUUCUCCUCCCCUCUGCUGUCCCCCNNNNNNNNNNNNNNNNNNNNNNNNNNNNCCGGAGCGCCUGCCCCGCCCGCUGCCACCACCAGGGCUUCACGGCUCCGCGCCCGCCUGCCAGGGCCUCCCCACGGCGGGCGGCUUCUUAAGUCCGGAGGAGGGAGGGGACAGCGGGGCCUAGGUAUCGCUCCCCCCUUUUCGUUCCCGCCGGCUCCGUGGCCCCAGCGCCUACUGUCCUGGCCUACGGAGUGGGCUUCGAAUGCGACUCAAAGUUCCAAGUCCACGAAAGUCCAGCGAGCCUGCCGCAUGUUGUCGGGAAUUCGGGGAUAACGUGGGGGCCAGGACCCCAAACUAACUAACUAACUUGCCAGGCUCUUGGAAAGCUGUCUUUCGGGUCUAGGCUUGGGUUCCUACACUGCGUUCUCCUGCUAGUCUAAGUAGUUCCCCGAAACAACAGCUUUCGGCUCCGGGAAGAGCGCAAGAGAACUGUGCGGAGGAAGGACGCGCACAGGUUGGAGUCGCCUCCAAACAGCCCCAAGAGCCACUUACGAAAAAAAAAAUUCCUUAAGGUUGGUUUGUUUUUCCUUUUGGUGGAGGGUGUACUCAUUUAAGUUGAAAAACAAAAAAAGCAAAUAAAAGAUGUUCGAAACUG